rnacentral:tRNA from 1 species
GCAGUGGUAUUUCAAAGGUAGAAUUAUUUCCUUCCAUGCUGGAGACCUGGGUUUGAUUCCCAGCCAGUGUA